GUUCCAGGCAUGGUUUAGUGGUAUAAUACUUCUUUAGCAUUCACUUCAAGCGCCUGACAGCUUGAGUGGCGAAUAGAAGUGGUCCUGGGUUCGAUUCCCAGUGCGUCCA